UGUGUAGGCGGAUUAAUAAGUCAGUGGUGAAAUCCUACAGCUUAACUGUAGAACUGCCAUUGAUACUGUUAACCUUGAGUAUAGUUUAGGUAGGCGGAAUGUGUUGUGUAGCGGUGAAAUGCUUAGAUAUAACACAGAACACCGAUUGCGAAGGCAGCUUACUAAACUAUUACUGACGCUGAGGCACGAAAGCGUGGGGAGCGAACAGGAUUAGAUACCCUGGUAGUCC
rnacentral:rRNA from 1 species